ensembl:lncRNA
AGGGAGGAGGGGAUGGUACAUGAAGGGGUGAGUUUAAGGGGUAGAUGGCCAAGGGAGAGACGGACCCCCUCCAGGGCUAGAGAUCUCUAACCGGGGGGAGAUCUCUCCCUGUAUGUGUCCGAUUGCGAGUUGGGGGGGGAAAUCAAAGUGUUGGAGGAGGAUCGCAGGACGGGGAAGGGGUCUGCCCCCCCCAACACAUGUGGUCUCUGUGCAAUUACUGUAGAGGUAGUGUGCGUACUGUAUCACCACACUCAAUGAAGGAUAGUCUAUUUAUUGUAGCGGCGAAAAAAGAAGCGUCUUUUUAACCUCUCACUUAUAUCAGGUAUUAAAGAACUUAAAAAGCAUUCCAGCCUACGCCAUAAACAGUAUUUAAUGGACCAAUGGCAUGCCAUUAGUUUAUUUUAUUUUAUUUAGACUCUGCUACCUGUGUAUUUUUUUUUUACUUUGUAUCGAUCACGGCGUUGAUUGAUUAUAGGAGAGCGGGUGCGAGCUGAGGUUUCAGGGAGCGUGAGGGAGGGAGUCCACGACGCACCAAUCAGGGGACAGAGAAAACCACGGCAGAGCUUGCAGCAGAGUUGUUUAUUUUUUCGUUGGCGUGUGCGGCCAAGUCUGAGUUACUGAAUCGUGUUUUAAAUUAUUAAUAUAUUGGUUUAUAGCGCUAGUACUGGUGUUUAUAGUGCGGACGUGGAGGACCGCGUCGGAGCUUUUCGUCUUCUUGCGUGACUCACAACAACAAGCUGUCUCGGAUCAGGAGCCGGUGGAAAAAAAGCACAAUUCAUCCAGCGAGUUCACAGCGCUGCCGGUGGGGGGGGAAAAAACAAAAAGACGGCCGGUGGCAGAGGCAGAAGGGACCAGUGACGACCGAGGGCAUAGACAUGUUAUUUUAAUAUGACAGAUUUAAAUUUUAUUGCCAGUGUAUAUACAAACUGUGUAACCACAACGGACAGAGUAGUAAAAUACAAAUAAGCCCAACUUAUGUCUUAAUGAGUAACGCUGUGAGCUAAACUGAAUACGUUUUAUUGGAGGGAUUAUUACAUAACUUAGAGGAUGUUUAAAACCUUCUGCUUUUUAUGAAAAAAAAUUAAAACACAGACUAGCGAGAGAAGAGUGCAGCUAUGGGGGUUUCUCUGCCUCCAUUUUGUGCUGGGAUUCCGCUGUCCCACUUCCCGCCAUUUUAUUUAUUUAUUGAAGCUCUGGAAUGCUAACAUUUAAAGUGUCUAACCCCCACGUGCUACUGCAACCGCUAUAGACGCGUGACCUUAAACUCAACUUUUGCAUAUGAAAAACUGCCUAGUAUGUCUAUAAAACGACCAGGCCGUAGCGUCUUACAUUAGCUAAAUGCUCUUAAAAAGCGUCACUCUGAAGGGAAAAUGCAUCGGUCUUAAUCAUUUCUCGAGUUACAUUUUAAACGUGAUGUUUGCCUCCUGCAGAAUGAACAUGUCACUGACUAUACUCAUGUAUUGACCAUGUUUUAAUGUUGCCCAAAUGUACAUACUUUAUUUUACCAUUUUAUUUUGCCUGACAAUAACUGUACAAAAGAUUUUCUUCCCCUCGCCUUUCUAAAAGUAUAAUUGUAAAUGGAAUCUUAACAAGCUAGUAAAUAAAAUGUUCUCCGUUCGAUAAUGCUA